UCUCUCUGUCCUGUCUCCUUCUCGCCUGUGCGGAGCUCACUGUGGGCUUCCGCUUUUGGCCGACACACCUGCAAGCAGUUAAACACCUGCGGUGCCUCUCCAGUCACUAGGGCAGUGGCUACGCGCUUCUCGUCGCUUGAACGUUGAACUACUGAAAUUCCCUGCUCCCGUCCUUGAUUCUCCUCCCUGAUUUCCCCAGCAUCAGAAGUCGUGUACGGCAGCGCAAACAGUGUUACCAACUCCUCAGAGAGAGAAAGAACAUCGUGGACGACACAUACA